AGAGUUUGAUCAUGGCUCAGAUUGAACGCUGGCGGCAUGCCUUACACAUGCAAGUCGAACGGACAGCACAGGGGCAACCCUGGGUGGCGAGUGGCGAACAGGUGAGUAAUACAUCGGAACGUGUCCUAUCGUGGGGGAUAACCAGAACGAAAGACUGGCUAAUACCGCAUGAGAUCGAGAGAUGAAAGCAGGGGACCGCAAGGCCUUGCGCGAUUGGAGCGGCCGAUAUCGGAUUAGCUAGUUAGGCGGGGUAAAAGCCCACCAAGGCUACAAUCCGUAGCUGGUUUGAGAGAACGACCAGCCACACUGGGACUGAGACACGGCCCAGACUCCUACGGGAGGCAGCAGUGGGGAAUAUUGGACAAUGGGGGCAACCUGG
rnacentral:rRNA from 1 species